CUGGUGUAUAAGUUGCGGUGAUUGCAUACCAUCAGAAUCGUCGGUGCAACAUAAGUGAAUUCAAGUCGCGUGCUAGUCCCGAUGGCGCAUGUCCUUGCGAGGUGCGCGGACGCCGAAACGAUGCCAACAUGGGGUCACCACUAGUCCUUAUAUAUUAGCAGGA